rnacentral:rRNA from 1 species
GACGAACGCUGGCGGCGUGCUUAACACAUGCAAGUCGAACGGAAAGGCCCUGCUUUUGUGGGGUGCUCGAGUGGCGAACGGGUGAGUAACACGUGAGUAACCUGCCCUUGACUUUGGGAUAACUUCAGGAAACUGGGGCUAAUACCGGAUAGGAGCUCCUGCUGCAUGGUGGGGGUUGGAAAGUUUCGGCGGUUGGGGAUGGACUCGCGGCUUAUCAGCUUGUUGGUGGGGUAGUGGCUUACCAAGGCUUUGACGGGUAGCCGGCCUGAGAGGGUGACCGGCCACAAUGGGACUGAGAUACGGCCCAGACUCCUACGGGAGGCAGCAGUGGGGAAUAUUGCACAAUGGGCGGAAGCCUGAUGCAGCAACGCCGCGUGUGGGAUGACGGCCUUCGGGUUGUAAACCGCUUUCGCCUGUGACGAAGCGUGAGUGACGGUAAUGGGUAAAGAAGCACCGGCUAACUACGUG